CCAGCCGGCAGACAUCCAGGCUCCAGCUCCCGUCCUGCGUCUUGCUGCACACCUGUCUCCGUCUCUGUUCCUCCUCUGAAAACCCGCCUGGCCCUCUGGAAAUGUGCAGAGAGCUCGGGUGUUCUCUGGUGCGGCCGGGAAGGGCCCAGACCUGCCCGUGUGUUUCCUCUGCCAGCAGCCCCGGGAAGGCCCCGAGAGUUGGGAAGGCUUGAACAAUCCAUUAGAGGGAACUUGAGUUUGAGGGGAGUGAGUGGAGUUUUGUGGAGAUUGGGUAUAUUCCAAAAUAAGAAAAGCCAAGCUUUAUCAGUCCACUGCUAUUUUCAGUUGCUUUAAUAAAUUUCAACGUGAUGCUGAA